rnacentral:lncRNA from 1 species
CCGCCCCGGCCUCACCAUGGUCUCGAGCCUGGCGAGCGCCGUCUCCAUGUUGAAUAGUUGACAUUCCUCAGGCGGCGGCGGAGGAGAUGCCCGCCCCCCGCGCCGCGGGCCGCGGAGAGACGGGGGUUGCCAUUGGGCAGCUGUCAGUCGGAGCUGGCCUCCCAUUGGUUGGGCGCUGAGGGAGGGUUGUCGCUAUUGGGCGGGAGGGGAUGUAAACCCUGGCGGAGGUACGGGGGUGCUGAUUGGGCGCCGCGGGGAGCGGCGGGCGGGGAUUGGUUCGCGGAGGGAGCGCCGCGAGAAGGAGGGGGGGUGGAGUGGGGGCGGGCGGGGAUUGGCUGGCGUAGGGAGCGCUGAGCUGCUAUUGGCGGGGGGCUGUGCUCCUGCCCGCCUCCUUUCAACCCCAUUGGCCCGUCUCACCUCCGUCCUUCCUCUGAUUGGUCAGUCUCAAACCCUUCCACCCAAUGACGGGAGCGGAGCAGCGCCAGGCCCGCGAUUCCCCCCCCCCAGCCCCAUCUCCCUUCACCUCACCCGUCGAGCUGAGGGGAGGGAGCCCGCGUCCUCCUAGCGACCAAUCAGCGCGCGGCUUACGUGGGGGGGGAAAGGGAGGGGACGGCUGAGAGCGGCGCUCCCAUUGGCUGCGCGCCGCGCGGGGCCCGGUUUGAAUCGGUGGCGCCGGCCGUGAGGUGAGCGGCGGCCGGGGGGGGCCGGGGGGGACCGGGACUGGAGGGGGAGGGUCCCCAUGACCCCCGUCGUGUUGUGCCCUUCGCUCCUUAUAUGGCGAAUUUACCGUCCCCACGUCAAAUUUCAUGUUUUUUUUUCCACGUUUUGCCCAUAAUCUCUCCGUUUCUGACAGGAAUGGCCAAGUGCAGGCGUCGGCGGAAAGCCAGAGCCAGAGCGAAGCGGCGCCUGACAGGGAAAGGAGCUGCCGCCGGGCCCCGCGGCUCGGGCUGUGCUGCGCCGCUGUCAGCAGGUGACCUUCCGCCGGACCCACCCUCUGUCCCAAGCCACCCAUCCUCACGCUGGUCAUUAGCCUUGCCCAGUGUAAGAAGCGUGGUAAAGCCUCUCACAACAACGGUGUCGUUCUGGUAUUGCUGGUGCCAGAACACUGUUGCGCAGGUAAGUUUUCUGCUUUUCUGGGUUUUGACAAUGCGUGAGGUCAGCCUUAGAACUCAAAUGCAAGAUAUGUCAAAUAUGAAAAGUAAGCUGUAAACUUAAUUAUGUCUAUUGAAACAUCUAAAUAUAUAUUGUGUUUAUUGUUGAAGGAGCAACUAUGAGAAAAUGUCCAAGGUUCUAUAAACAUUAAAAAUGUAUGUGAAAUUGGAGUUUGUAUAUGGCAGCAUCAGCAGGAU